ACCUACACCACAGCUCACGGCAACGCCGGAUCCUUAACCCACUGAGCAAGGGCAGGGACCGAACCCGCAACCUCAUGGUUCCUAGUCGGAUUCGUUAACCACUCAUGAUAUAAAAGUGCAGGGCAUAAUGACGACUGCGUAGAGAAGUGGUAAGAAUCAGAUCUAAUAUAAUUAAUGUGAACAUGUGUGUGCUUUGAUUUCUAUAAAAUACUUUAAGGCUGGUAACAGAUUAACCCUCCUAAUAUCCUUUAAAAGAUAAUAAUAAAAUCAUGACUCACUUUUACUGAUGAAACAGUGGAGUGCAGACAAAUUGCCAGAGCCAUUAAAAAUUAACUUUAAACAAUUCAGUUCAUUGAUGAGUCUUGGUAUGCUUUGUAGAGCACUUAAUGGACAAUAAGCAUGUCAUAUGUGAGAGGUGAUGAAACAACGGUCUGACUGCCUUUCCAAAAAACUCAAGCUCAACUCUAUCCUGUUCAAGUCAGCUCCAGAUUCCAAAGGUCCUUUAUCCACCCACUUCCACCCCCCCGCCCCCCGGUUAUGCUAAUAUAGAAGGAAUGAAGUACUCAGAUUUUAGAAUCAAAGCUCCUCGUCUAAACUCAGGAUUCCUUAGCUGUGUGAUCUUGGAAAGUCCCCUGACAUCUCUCUCAUACGUAAAAUGAAGCCAAUAAUGGUACUCGCCACCACAUGGCUAUUCUGAGAAUAAAACAAAACAUGCCAUGCAGCCUCUGUUUUACCAAAACAUUCAUUUUGACCUACGUUUUCCAGAAGCCUCAAACCAUCAAAAAACAUCCAUCAAACUCCACAGAGGUUAAAUUUGAGGGUAAAAGAACUCUUACUGAAUUUAAUUAUCUUAAUAACCUUAGUUUUUUAUCUUUCAUCUCACACCAAAAUGCAGUUACCAUGUGGCCACCAAGAAAUUAUUAGCCACAUACCCAUGCUGUAUAUUUAGAAAUAAAUAUAUUUUCCUAAAAAUUUUUAACUAGACGAGUUCUCAUCCUUAAAAAAGAAAAUCUUCUCUUUAGCCAAUACUCCUAAUUUCAUUACUAUAAAUCAAGAAGAAAAUAUAUAAUGAGCAUGGGAUAGAAGAAAAAAAACAAGAAAAAGAAAAAGACUCAUAGAAGGAUACAGAGGAAGAAAGGAAGGAAGGGGAGUGAAAUAUAAUAUUCAGAUUCUUGCUUCCAGUCCAUUAACUUCCAAAACGAAAGAGAAUAUGUCAUACCAUCCAUUAACACAGUUUAGAAACACUAGCCUAUUUGGCAGCCACACUUACAGAACCAUGAGAAUCAAGGUUACUCAUCAUAAGCUCAUAAACUGGGCACAAGGUGACAGGACCAAUUGGGUGAGAGGGAUCUGAGUGGAGGGUGAUCUGCCGCAACACCAUGUAUGUUGCAGAGGUCCCCCUCAAAACAUGCAUAGACAGCAGUCUGGGGCUACCUUGGAGACCUGCCUUCUCAAAAGAACUAGGAACUAAGCCCCCACAGCUGGGUUUGACCUGGCUUUGCCUCUACCUGGGUUCUGAGGAGCUUCUGCUCUGCUUCAUCAGAAAUGAGCAGAGCUGAGAGCACCUAGAGGAAGGGCCCAACUCCUCACAGAGACUCAAUCACUUGUAGAGGUGAGGCAGUUUUGCCAAAUGGUAGCACCAGGGGCACGAAAGCCAGGCUGCCCCGCUCCUAAACCUGACUGGGACACCUAUUCCUUGUUUGGCCUUGGGCAAGCCAGUUCAACACAGUCUCAGGUUCCUCCCCUGUAAAAUGAAAAUCAAAGCAAGGUCAAGGCAAAUGAGAUGAUACACACCUACACAACUGAGCACAGUCCAGAACUUGGUGGCCAUGAGGUGACUGCUAAUGCCUUAUCCCAGCUACUGCAAAAGGCUGAGUGACACUGGAGGUGGCCCUUCCACAAGCUGGACAUUAGACGGCAAAUGCUCCAGGGCCAGCAAAAACCUGCAGCCCUAGUGCCCCACUUGGUGUUCAACAAACAAGAAAACCUCGGAAAUCUUUCAGCAAUAAAGAGAUAAUUCCAGCAAUGACGUCUACAGUGCACCUUCUAUGGUGUCCUUGUCUGAAUUUAUUAAUACGUGUAGGCAGAAUAAUUUGCUGCAGGGCUCAAGAAAGAUAAGAUUUUUUUUUAAGAGGUGAGGGGUUUUUUUAGAGCAUUAUAUCAGUAUCUCCUAGAACUAUGUUUUGUUUAAGGCAAUUUAGUAAACUGAAAAGUGUGGACUCUUUUUUUUUCCCUUCCAUUUACGUUUUUAGUGGUGGUGGCUGUUGUUGUCAAGCAUCUUGAGUGCUCUUUUAUGGACAGAGUAAGCUGUAAAAGAACCUCUUUGAUGACUCAUUUUAGAAUAUAAAUUCAGGGGAAGCAAAAGUACCGCUUAUCACUACUGAGAACUUUCAUUCAGAUCUACUUUUACAACUGCUCUGAUCUAACAGGGCAAUUGAUUCCAACAUGCAAUUUAAUCAACAGGCUGUUAAACCUUGGAUGCUUAUUGGUAAGGGAACAAUGCUUUAAGAAUUUUGCUAAAUAAUUUGGCCCUUCCAGUCUAAGAGCUAUGCUGGUGAGAAUAGGAUGGCGUGUAAGUAUCUAAGAUUAUUCUACUCAUCUAGGGUAUGUAGCCCUGGGCUGCCUUUCCAGAUCAGCUCUCUGAGCCAGAGCCCUCUUCAGCCACAAGGCAAGGAGCUGGCAUAAAAGUAGCCCAUACUUCUUGGAUGAAGCUUGAUGAGGUCUCACUAUUACAGCCCUCGUGAAUUCUCUUUCUGUUGCUGCUGCUACCAGCAAUAUAUUUUUUAGGUUGCCCUGGAUGUCUUAUGGUGAGAUUUUGCUGAACAUCGAAUAUGAAUUAGGAAACUGCUUUGAGAAAUAGUCCCACCAUUUCAUCUGUUUACUUUUCUAUUACACCGUCAUUUCCUAAAUGCUUUUUUUGGAAAGUUUUACACAAUAGCUUCAUAAAUCAGGUUAGUAAGGAUGUCAUUCCAUUUUAAAGCAUGUCACAUGGAAAGACUAUAACAAUAAUAGACACAAAUGCACCUGUCUACAUGCAUAUUCACACAAACACACACAUUUGCUCAACUUGAAACUGAGCCCUGGGACUAACAAACAUAUCAUCCCUGGCUCUUUUCAAUAUACCUUCUUUCUAGGAUCUGCUUUCACUCAGGGGCUCCUACACAAUUCCGGUGUUUCCCCAAACCACAUUCUAAGGUGCAGGAAAUAUUAAUAAAAGUUCUGUAAGGAGGGAAGGAGAGUUCUCUAAUCAUAUUUGUCAUUUUGCUGAGGACAAAUUUGAACCAUGGGCAUGCAAGACUGAAGAGAAUCACUUAGGUAUUGUAUGAACCCGGCCAACUAUUCAACAGCCACAUCUCAAAGUGAUUUUGUUGUUCCCUCUCUAUUCAUUGUUACACAGAAAGCUCAUGAAGCGAUAACACUGUUUCUUUGUUUAAAAAAUAAAAGGCCGCUGAAAGAAAAGCCAAUUACUCGUGAUGGUGAUGGGAGUGAAGAGAAAGUGAAAAGGCUUACAGAAGUGGUGGUUCUUGCCCAAAUACAGAUACCUGGGGAAGAAAUUAUAUUUCAAAAGGCUAUGUGUAAAUUUAGAUGUAAACUUCAUGAUCAUCUUUGGAAAAAUCUCUCAUAAAUGUCAAGGAUCUACCCUAUAUCAAAAUGGUCUAAGUUUGAGGCAUCAUGGAAAUAAACUGGACGUGACCAUAAAUGGCCCCUGAACAGAAUCCUACCUUAUAUAUGAUAGAGGAGAAAUUACUCACACAAGUGGGGGCCUGCUGCCUUAGGCUCCAGAAAAAAAGGCCCAGGGGCACUGUGAUAUAUUAUUAUUAGAAGGCUCUUCUGUCUGAAUGGAAAGAUGGAAACAGGGCGCUUUAGUUGACUGGGGUUGAAUUUGAAAACUAGGCAUCCAAUAUCACCUCCAGACAGGUUCACAUGGGUUUGAGUUUAGCUUCUGUGGAAUGGCUUCUGAUGGCAGUUUAAAGGAGGAGGCUCUGAGGGAGCACUCUCAUGAACAGGGACAGGACAGAACCACCGGAUACUGAGAGGAAUCACAAGACACUGGAGUAAGAAAAACAGGUAGGAACAAGUCAAAGUGCACUGAAGUACGUGAGGACCCAUGGACUCGAGAGCCAUGGAUCCAGCUACUUUCCAGACAGUGAAAACAAAAAGCAAUGAAGCCUCCAACAGCGUCUCUGGCCUCCUCCUGAACAGCUCCCCUGGGAGCUCAGCAUCCAUGUGAUUGCACCCAGGACCCAACUAAUGGUUGACCACGUAUCACCCCAGACAUUAAGAAAUAUGGCCAAAGUCUUUCAUACAAAAAUUCUUCUUUUAAAAAAUCAUGUAAAUGUCCUUUCGAUCCAUGUUCCUAUUUAAUUUAUGUGGCUUCUGUAAAACUCCCUUGUCGUUUUCUAAAAAAAAUUUUUUUUUUUAUUGGGCUCGUAGAAGGAUGAUCUAACUUUUCCCUAAAUCUCACAGGGCUUCAAAUACUAGGGAUUUUCCCCUCUUCUCUAGAGUUUUGAUUUCUCAUGGAAGACAGCCAUUUAGAAAAGUCACUAACAUGCAGAUACACGCUGACAAACCUUUCUGGCUGCACAGCUAAGGCAACAUGUAGGUGUGUGAGUGGAGAACAGCUAGUACCAAGCCUAGCUGAUUUCCAUCUAGUGUGACCAACGAAAUGUAAACUCUGGCAGGAGAACUCAGAUCCCGCCAUCUGGAAGACCAGUCCCAGAUUGGUUGAUUUCAGACAGAGAUAACACACUCAUUGGUGGGAUACACUGCAG
rnacentral:lncRNA from 1 species